AUACGUAGGGUGCGAGCGUUGUCCGGAAUUACUGGGCGUAAAGAGCUCGUAGGUGGUUUGUCGCGUCGUCUGUGAAAUUCCGGGGCUUAACUCCGGGCGUGCAGGCGAUACGGGCAUAACUUGAGUACUGUAGGGGAGACUGGAAUUCCUGGUGUAGCGGUGAAAUGCGCAGAUAUCAGGAGGAACACCGGUGGCGAAGGCGGGUCUCUGGGCAGUAACUGACGCGGAGGAGCGAAAGCAUGGGUAGCGAACAGGAUUAGAUACCCUGGUAGCCCAUGCCGUAAACGGUGGGCGCUAGGUGUAGGGGUCUUCCACGACUUCUGUGCCGUAGCUAACGCAUUAAGCGCCCCGCCUGGGGAGUACGGCCGCAAGGCUAAAACUCAAAGGAAUUGACGGGG
rnacentral:rRNA from 1 species